ensembl:lncRNA
AGGCUGGUCAAUAUAUAUACUGAACAGGGAUGGAGAGUGAGCUGGUGAGGUAGGCUGGACAAUACAUAUACUGAACAGGGAUGGAGAGUGAGCUGGUGAGGUAGGCUGGACAAUACAUAUACUGAACAGGGAUGGAGAGUGAGCUGGUGAGGUAGACUGAACAGGGAUGGAGAGUGAGCUAGUGAGGUAGGCUGCAGUGGGUUUGCUGGUCAAUACAGUAUACUGAACAUGUAACCACAGUAACGGUGGCCAGUAAAUCAAUGAAUAAAAAUGUAAUAUUGACAAAUGAAAAAGAAACUGUAGACCUUUUAAUCUUUUCCAACAUGUCAACAGACACUUAACUUCAAAUUAGCACAAAACAUUUCAGUGUUAACCUCCUCUUUAUCCCUG